GCCAGUCCACCACACCCUCAUCAAGCCAACGCCGCUCACCUGUGGAUCAUGACUCCCUGUCACUAUACAGACUCCAGCUUCUCAGACUCUGGUUGCCAGAUUGUUCUUCGCCAUCCCGAUGCAAGACUCUCCAGAGUUUAUCCCCGGACUGCUUCCUUGUUACCUCCUCAGUAAACCAUUCAGACUUCUGUCCUCGACCAAGAGCUCUGCUUCCGACUUCCUGGAUUCUGUUCACCUGUUCCCUGUGGCUGAUUGCUUCGCCAUGUGGCUGCACAUCCUGUCUCUGUGUGUGUGCGCCAUGGAAUGAACUCAUCACAGGUGUGUUGGUGUCUCCCGUGUGCACUCCUGGUUCCAGAUUUCCUGCUCAUCUGACAUCACCUUCUGCCUGCUCCCUCACGAGUGCUCCCCUAAAGACGGGGACUCUUUGGGGUCCAGGAAGAGUUCCAGUCGGCGUCCUCCAGGUGAAACGCAGCCUCUCAGAGCCAGACCUGCCGGCUGCAGGGGGCUUUAACCUCGGGGGUCCCGCCGCCUGUCUGCAGCCAGUCUGAAGGCAGGAGGACGCUGAGACAAUGUGGAAACGUGAGGAUCGCUGCAGGUCAGUCCUGCAGCAGCUCCAUCCAUCACAAUGAGGAAAUCUCUUCACCCUGUUUCACCUUUUCAGAUCCACCUCCUCCACACUGACGUCUUUCUUUACAGCUAAACAUUUGUUUUCUCAUUGUAGCUGCCCGACAUCUGCUCUUUUGUAGUUUAUGUGUUGAGGAAAUGGGGCCUACGAGGACAUUAGUCAAUCUGAAGACAUCAUCUAACCAGGCUUAUUUCUACGAGAGGAAGAUACUGUCGGAUUAAACUGUCUGAGAUCAGUUCAGCUUUGAGGUCUGCAGACCAGUUUUAAAGCCAGUUAUAUACAGUAAAAUAUUUCUGAAUAUCUCUGUUGCUCUUAUUCUGUUUCAUUCAGAGAUUAUCUGUUGAGCGUUUGCAGGAAAACUGCUGAAAAACUAAACUUCGGGUGAUAAAAUUUUGGGCUUAAAAGAAGCUUGUUGUUCUGAUUGUCUCAUGAGAUGUUGCUCAACUAAAUGCUUAAAAUAUUUCUGUAAUUCCUGCGCCCCAGUACCCUCCUCCUUGGCUUAAAGUUCAGUUGGUUGGUUUGGUUUUACGAUCUUAAUUGCUCUCCAUCUUUUUCCUCAGGCCUUAAAAAAACACUGAUACUAAAUCCGUUGUAUCACAGUGGAAAAACUCUGCUUCCAUGUUCUUGAGGUGAUCUGUUGUCUUCACUAUGUGUUUUAUAUUCAUGCGUUCACCUUGAUGUUUUUGGAAGUUACCCAUGGUUUUACUGAAACAGCUGCUUUUGUCAGACAAAUUCAAAUAUUCAAUCACAAAAAUCACAAAGUAUGAAAAAGGUUGUUUAAUAAAAAAAAGA